UCCAGCGCACUCACCUAUCCACUAAACAGCAACUUCAAUGUUGACAGAUUUUAUUUGUUUUUUUUUUAAAAACACCUAAUGUAGGCAAAAAUAAUGGGGGUUUAGUUACAUUAUAUGAUCAUACAUAGCAAAUAAAAUCUGUUAACAUUAAAGUUGCUGUUUAGUGGAUAGGUGAGUGCGCUGGA